AGUAAAGUUAGGCAGCGAGCCUUAACGGAGCGAGGGCUGUUAUCACCUCUCCUUAGCCCUUUAAGUGCAGCAGGCUCUUUGGUGUCUCUCGCUGGAUGCCGCUCUGUUAAUUGCGACGGUAAACAGGACACAGCGCUGACCAUCGCCGCCGAACCACAAAACCGCCGGCUUUAGGAAAGGAGCCUGGGCCCAGGGGGAGUCACACACCAAAGAGGCAAUGUGGAACCAGUGCAUCUUUCUGAGGGCUAUUUAUGUUGCAGAGUUGCUGAGAGGGGAAGGACUCAGUGUGAAAGAUGCCAAACCCACUUGAACUCUGCUUGGACCAAGGAUCUAUCUAUUAAGUUUACUUAAAAUAACCUCAGCAAUCUCACUGGAACCCUCUUCUCUGUGCAGGGCUCUAGCCUGCUUUAUUUUCAUGACUCAGCAGAGGAAUUGGUCACUUUGUGUGUUUCUAGGUUCAACCACCAUGUUGCAAACCAUUCCACUGAAGUCACAGUCUCCACUGAAAAACUCUCUCUGCUAGGGUGCCUAUUUCCUCUAUGAAUUUCCUCUGUGACAGUAAAUCUUUACAGGAGAGAUACGAGGAUAACAGAGCCUAAAUGCUUACAGAAAAAACACAAACAUUCUUGGGCAAAAGUGACUCACUCAGUGAGAGAUAAAGGGGCUGGAAUUUUCCUAAGGAAAUGUCUUAUUAACUUUUGUUUUAUGUCCGUAUCUCUGUCAGAAAAAAGCCUGUCAUUCCCUCUUACUUUUUCAAUAACUUCCAAUUCUGUAGAGGAAGAAAAGAUGAAAAUACCCUCCAGUAUUGUCAAAAUACAUGGCUGGGUAAGGAAACAAAGUAUUUCAUCACUCCCACUGAUUAAAAAAAAAAUCAGCAUGAACCUUCAGAAUAUCCACUUAUGAAAGUACUGCUAUGAGGACUCUGCAACAAAUAUACCCACUGUACUUCUAGUACUGUGCACAGAUUUUCAUCCCAAAGUAAGUCUGCUGUUUUGUGAAUGUCUAUAAGAGCACAUUGACAGAAAUCAGCAUAAAAGAAGAAUAAAAUAAUUCUGAUACUGGAAUGAACUGCCCAAAUUUAUGUAACAUUGCAGAAACCUAGAAAAACUGAUACCAUUCAGUAAUCUUAAAUCUGAAACUAGGGGUGCUAAACUAACAUCCCUCUCUUUUUUAAUGCAAAGAGAAGGUAUUUGGGCUUGUUGAAAAAGAUUAGGAUAUCAGAGAGAAAAAGGGAGGUGCAAAUAAAAGUUUGGAAGUAGUGUUGACUGUAGAGAUCCUAUCAGUUUCAUGUACUUCAAGCAAGGCAACUGAUAGCUCAGCUUGAAGAUAACUCCUGAAAGUGUGCCACUUUCAUGCUAUUUCCGAGAGACCUGGUUUGCUGUGGAGCUAUGUAAUUGAAUUUAUUUUUCACUGCUAAUAAAUAUGCUUUACAUUAGUCUUCUUGUGCAACUUUUACAUCCAUAUCUCAAUUACAGGAUUUACUGAGUUGGUAGCAUAUCUUCAGUUUUUGCAACAGCCACAGUGAUGAUCAAAUUUCUCAGGAAUGAUUGUCCACAAUCCUUCAGAGCUUGUAAAACUUUUACAUUUAUCAUAGAGCAAAUAAUCUGGUAAGCAGCCAAGCCUUCAUUUUCCAUCAAAGAAUGCUAGAAAGAAUCCAAUUCCUGGAAUCUGAUGCAAAUGUGUUUUCCGUGAACUGCUGUGUAUCCAUGCACAAUUUAGAAGACAACAUUAGAAAAGUUAUUUAAUGAAUAAAAUAUUGUUGUUUCUCCCCCUCCCUCUACUAGAAUUCUACAUAUCAAGUUUUCCAAGACACAUAUGCUCUUUUUAAUGACUUGAAAUACUUUCCUAAUGAUUAAAUUCUGCUUAGCUCUAGUAGACUCUUCCAGAACUUUUAUAAGCCAACAUAAUGUAUGCAUCUGAUGGUAGGCUAUAAACAUUCAUUUUUAGGUCACUAAAAGUAAAGCUUGGAAAACUGAGCUGUCCAUAACCAACUUUGUUUAACAGCUUGUGAUAUAAUCAUUCCUAAAAUUAUAUCUUGUGACUCAAUAAAGACAUUUGGCAGUAUGUAAGUGCUGUCCAGCUGUCCAAG